AUACAUAUACACAAAAGCCAUUCACACCUGAACCGUCCGCCAAUUCAAUAUGCAAAUCUUCAGCAGUCAGUGCACAGAAUUUAUUACGCCUCCUCAUGGCCACACGCGCCUAUCAAACGCUGCCUUUGGCUGCCAGGCAACAACAUAUUGCCGCGCAGGAAGUGCCACACUUUGACACUUGGCAUGAUUGAUGUACCACCGACGAGUUGAUUGCCGAAAUGGCAAGGUGUGCGGCAGCUAUAAAAAAUGGCGCGGCCACAAUUUGGCGCCAAAAGGCAGUGUGCUGUGCGAUGGCGGGAUUAGCAUAACAAAAGGCGGUGCAAAUAAGCUUGACAACUCCUUGAUGGAUGCGCUGAGGCAUAAUUCUAUGUAUCAUUAUGUAAAUUUAUAUAAAUGUAUGUACAUUCAUAAAAAUAUUUGAAUAAAUCUAGACAUUUGAGCCUCAUA